rnacentral:rRNA from 1 species
GUCCACGCUGUAAACGAUGGGUGCUAGCUGUGGUGGGUAUUGACCCCUGCCGUGGCGACGCUAACGCAAUAAGCACCCCGCCUGGGGAGUACGGUCGCAAGAUUAAAACUCAAAGGAAUUGACGGGGGCCCGCACAAGCGGUGGAGCAUGUGGUUUAAUUCGACGCAACGCGCAGAACCUUACCCAGACUUGACAUCCACGGAAUCCUGCAGAGAUGUGGGAGUGCCCGCAAGGGAGCCGUGAGACAGGUGCUGCAUGGCUGUCGU